AACAUGAUCGACUGAUAGAUAAGAUGAAAUCUUGCGUUUAGUACUUAAAUUUGAGUUUUUAGAGUUUCUUUUUGGGAAUUGAUGAAUCGAUGUGUUGAAUUUGUUUGUUGAUGGUUGUCUGAUGAUUGGCGUCACCUAUUUCUUAUGUAUGUGUAGGCGUGGAAGGAAUGGCAAAAAAGCUCGUUCAAGCAAGAGCAUGACUUAGAGAAGAGAAGGGCAGAGGCUGCUCGGAUUAGAGAGAGAGAAGUAUCCAGAUAGAAUUCCGGCCAUGUCGAGAUUCCCCUGUUCCAAGUAGCCACGAAUAAGAUUCAUGUAACGAAAUUGUGGAACAUGAUCAGAUUAAGCUGAAGCUCUGUU